CUGCCUAUUAGUGGGGGACAACAUCUCGAAAGGGAUGCUAAUACCGCAUACGUCCUACGGGAGAAAGCAGGGGAUCUUCGGACCUUGCGCUAAUAGAUGAGCCUAAGUCGGAUUAGCUAGUUGGUGGGGUAAAGGCCUACCAAGGCGACGAUCUGUAGCGGGUCUGAGAGGAUGAUCCGCCACACUGGGACUGAGACACGGCCCAGACUCCUACGGGAGGCAGCAGUGGGGAAUAUUGGACAAUGGGGGGAACCCUGAUCCAGCCAUGCCGCGUGUGUGAAGAAGGCCUUAUGGUUGUAAAGCACUUUAAGCGAGGAGGAGGCUACUUUAGUUAAUACCUAGAGAUAGUGGACGUUACUCGCAGAAUAAGCACCGGCUAACUCUGUGCCAGCAGCCGCGGUAAUACAGAGGGUGCGAGCGUUAAUCGGAUUUACUGGGCGUAAAGCGUGCGUAGGCGGCUUAUUAAGUCGGAUGUGAAAUCCCCGAGCUUAACUUGGGAAUUGCAUUCGAUACUGGUGAGCUAGAGUAUGGGAGAGGAUGGUAGAAUUCCAGGUGUAGCGGUGAAAUGCGUAGAGAUCUGGAGGAAUACCGAUGGCGAAGGCAGCCAUCUGGCCUAAUACUGACGCUGAGGUACGAAAGCAUGGGGAGCAAACAGGAUUAGAUACCCUGGUAGUCCAUGCCGUAAACGAUGUCUACUAGCCGUUGGGGCCUUUGAGGCUUUAGUGGCGCAGCUAACGCGAUAAGUAGACCGCCUGGGGAGUACGGUCGCAAGACUAAAACUCAAAUGAAUUGACGGGGGCCCGCACAAGCGGUGGAGCAUGUGGUUUAAUUCGAUGCAACG
rnacentral:rRNA from 1 species